UGGUGACUUGGAGAUGUCCCUCUGGGGGUGUAGGGACCGGGUUUCCUUCUUGGGGAGGAGCUGGUGUUUCUCAGGCUCAGCUGUGUCUUCCUGUCUUGGCAGAAGCCGUCGGAGAAGAAAGAAGAGACAGGAGUGGAACUUCGAGGCAAGAAAGAAGAAGAAGAGGAGCAAGGGCGUCGAGGUCAAGAGUGGACCGGCGAGGCAAGAGCCAAGAAGACGAAGAAGAGCAGCGGCGUCGAGGUCAAGAGGGAGCACGACAGAGACCCUCUGGGCAAAGG